rnacentral:lncRNA from 1 species
AAGCAUAAAGUAAUGGGAAUAAGGCAAACCUGACUGGAGAGAUCGAAUGAAAUUGAAUUGCCCGGUUGGGUUUACAAAGCAAUCUGAGGGUUUAUAUGAGAGGGAAUUGGUUCUUUGCAGAUGAGUUCCCUUCAGCCUCUGGAGGUUGCUCUGAACUCUGUUAGCUUUUCUCUCACUAUCUUUUUCCCUGCCAGGGUUAG